GAAGAUAGCAAUAAUACCUAUUCGGAUGAUCAAAAUCAUCCACUGUUUGAUAUCCAAAUGAAAAACACAAUAAUUCGACCUGUGUCCUAUAUUUCACCGUUUGUUUUGUCAAGCGAAUUGGAAAAAUGUUUAGAUGCGAACUUUGCUACAACUGUAGACGAAUUCAAUGCGGAUUUUUCAAUGCUCGUCAAUAAUCUGAACACCUCUGGGACAGCUAUCCACAAGCUUAAAAUUAUGCCAGAAAAAUAUGUCAUGUCAAUUGCGAAUACAAAAGAACAACUAUCUUUAGAAUCACAGAAGACAGCAAGUGAUGAGCAAAAUGACAGUGGAUUUUACUUUGUAGCAGAUCUGGAUAAGUUAGAGAAAGCUUCUGCCUCUGAGAAUAUUGCACCACCGUCCGCGGUACAUCCAUCCUCAAGGAUACUCCGUGGGCUUCUUUCGAACAGAUUUCUUGGGCCACAGAGUGUAAGGAAUUCCUUUGUAGAAGCAAAACAAUUGAAAAUCAAUCUCAUUAAUCAGGAUCAAAUCAAGAGUACAAAAAAAAAGUUAAUGCAGCCAGAUAAGUCAACUGAUUUAUCAGCUAUUUCCAGCCAAGACAUGGUCAUUUCCUUACAUUUUCAAAAACGUAAUAAAUAAAUUGAGCUUGUUAACGUAGCAAUCAAAAAUGGAGAAUCUGAUGAAGUAUGAAGGGAAUGGACUAAAGAGCUAGUAACGAAAGAAGACACAAUAAAAACUGGUCCAAUUCAGAACAACUGAGUGUAAAUAUUGCACAACUUUGGGAGGGCUGUCCGAAGGGAAUUCUUCAACUUUUGUUAGACUAGUUUUUUUUGGCCAAAUCGCGUUAGAAUUGUAUUAUAGUAUAUAUAGUGACAUAAUUGUGUUCGCUGAAUUUUAUCUGUGUAUUGAUUCGCAAAAUAAAAAGAUUUACUGAAAA
rnacentral:sRNA from 1 species